rnacentral:rRNA from 1 species
UACGUAGGGACCGAGCGUUGUCCGGAUUCAUUGGGCGUAAAGAGCUCGUAGGCGGCUGCUCAAGUCGAAUGUGAAAACUCGAGGCUCAACCUCGAGCCUGCAUUCGAUACUGGGCGGCUAGAGUCCGGAAGAGGAGAGUGGAAUUCCCGGUGUAGCGGUGAAAUGCGCAGAGUAUCGGGAAGAACACCCGUGGCGAAGGCGGCUGCUCUGGGACGGUACUGACGCUGAGA